rnacentral:misc_RNA from 1 species
GCAUGUGCACGUCCAACCUUUUCUAUUACACACCCGUGCACCUUUUGUAGGUCCUCGAAAGAGGAUCUAUGUAUUUCAUCAUCACACCUAUCGUAUGUCUAGAAUGUCAUCGUCGACCACUGGGCGGCGAAAUAAAUAAUACAACUUUCAGCAACGGAUCUCUUGGCUCUCGCAUCGAUGAAGAACGCAGCGAAUUGCGAUAAGUAAUGUGAAUUGCAGAUUUUCAGUGAAUCAUCGAAUCUUUGAACGCACCUUGCGCUCCUUGGUAUUCCGAGGAGCAUGCCUGUUUGAGUGUCAUUAAAUUCUCAACCAUGACUUUGUUGACAUGGCUUGGAGUUGGGGGUUGCUGGCUUGUUUGUCAGCUCUCCUGAAAUACAUUAGCGGUGGACAAGCAAGGCCUUCCGACGUGAUAAUGAUCGUCGUGGGGCGGAGCAUCAACGUCUGUCUGCUUCUAAAUCCCAGAUGCCUUAGCUAGACAUCAUUUCGAACGCUUGACCUCAAAUCAGGUAGGACUACCCGCUGAACUUAAGCAUAUCA